CUGACCCGACCCGGCCCAUCAAAGGACCCCUAUCCAGUAUCCUUUGGUCUUAUCUAGGGUUUAUAAGAAACUGAACUGAAUUGGUAAUGUACUCGUUAGUUUAAGUAUGAGGCUUUGCUCUCAGAGGGCUUGCGCUCUGAUCGUAAGCGAAGCCGAUGAUUGAUUUCACCAUUUUUAUGCAUGGGUUCAGGGGAAAUGUCAUAAUUAACCCUUUCUUUUUCUCUCUCUUUCUCUCUGACUGUCCCUUACAAAAUGGAUGUAAUGUAAAUGGAAUAUUAGGGGGCUGUGAUGAUAUUUUCCAUUUGACCAGACGAUGAGAAACUUUUACUCCCAUGUAAUGGCGAGGCAGCUUCCGGGUUUGCAGCCAUGUUGGUAAGGUAGAGUUUCCAUCUUAUCUGAUAAAAGGCGAAUCUUGAGCCCCCAUCCAAAAGCAAAGACGGGGGGAAAAAAUUAAAGGUAAAUUUGGAUUAAUCCCCUCACCUAGAAUGACAACCUUCAAUUACCAAAACAAAAUUAAAACUUUUAUUAUUUGAUAUCCUUUGAAUCCUUUCACAAUCUAUUGUUACAUGAGGGCAGGCUGUGAUGUUGUUUUCGGGCUCUGAGAGGGCCGUUUCAUGGCGCGGCAACCCGGGAACUUUCCAGUGUUGCAGCCGUUGGCGGUUCAUUCCUCUCUCUUGUCUGAUUUAAGCCUGAAUCCGAACCUCUCUUUUUUCUGCUUCUUUUUUUUUUCUUUUUUGGAAAAAAAAAAAAAAAACAAAUAUGCAAUACAUACAUGCAUACAAACAAUGUAUAUUUUCGUUGAUUGUGUUUUGUUUUGAUUCAGUGAUUGUUUUCGUCGGAGUAAAUUAGUUUGGUUCUAAUGAUGAUUUUGGUUGGUACUGAAAUUUGUUGAGGUUUUGGACCGAAAUAAGUUCGUAAAUUGGCAAAUUUUAAUCAGGAAUUGCUGGCCGAGUUUUAUUUAAAACCCAGUUACAGUUGAAUUUAAUUUUUACAUGAGAAAGCGUGGUUUCUAAUAUUCUAAUUUCUAAAUGGAGCUGAGGAUUCUGAAAACUAGUUGCAGUUAAUAACUUAGUACUCCCUCUUCAUAUCGACUUGAUUUGCCUUUUACAAUUCACUUUGGGUUUAUAGAACUGGUGCCAACGUUUCCUUCAAUAUUUAGACGCAAAUGCAGUAAACAAUAAACCAUUGUCCUCUCUUAUGCACUUGAAAAAAAAAAAAUUGAAGUGGGAAAAAAAACAAAAAUCAUUGAAGCACAAACUCAAUUUAGAGGCGGCCACUUGCGUGUUAGCCUCUGCCUGAGUGGUAAUCUACUCGCCGGACAGUGUCAAACAAUAUAAUCUACUCUAGGGGUUAAAUUUCACAAGAAAUUUUAUAAAACACCCAAAAAAAAUCUAAAUAAUAAUAAAAACAUUAAUAAGCAUUGUAACAUAAACGAUCAAGCUAAGUUAAGAAGGCACUUAAAUUUUUUAUAGUGGAAGUCCCAAGUUCCGAGUCCCAACUCCCAACCUAAAGACUUUAUAGGAACUCGUAGUCAUUCUUCAUAGUUGGGGUUAGCAAUAGUAUCACCCCGUGUUUUUGUUUGUCUUGUUCUUUGUUUCUGGUUUCCCUUUAGAAUGAGGCUUUGCUCUCAGAGAGUGAGAGAGAGAUCUCUGAUACUCUGAUUGCUAAGCGAAGCCAGUGAUUUUACCAUAUCACUUACACUAACAAUCUCUCUCUCUCUCCCUCUCUCUCUCAAAAUCAUGUGAUGAGGCUGUGAUGAUGUUUUUACAAAGUCAAAUAAAUCAGACAACGAGAAACUUUUACUCCUUAUAAUGGCGAGGCAGCUUCUGGGUGUCUCUGAAAUUGCAGCCAUGGUGGUAAUGUUUCCAUCUUGUCUGAUAAAAAAUUGAAUCUUGAGCCUCCAUCCACAAAGAAAAAUUGGAACUUUUUUACUGAGUAUUGCCAAAAUUGGCUAUGAUCAUCUCUAUGUGUAUGUAUGUACGUAUAUGUAUGCGCAAAUGAUCUUCUUCUGCUGCUUUUCUUUCUUCUGACAAUAAAUAAAUAGACAAACGGCUGUGACGAUGUUUUUCAGGCUUUGGAUCAGCCCUUGAUACUUGAGAGCCCGUUUUAUGGCGGGGCGAUCCAGAGACUUCUCUGUGUUGCAGCCAUUGGCGUCUGAGCCAAGUCUGAAUCUGAGCCUCUCUUUCUACUACCAAUGUUGUUGUUGUGUGCGUGUUUUCCCCCUCUUUUUGGAGUUUCUGGCUUCUUUUUAAAUUUUGUACUGGUUUAAGAAGUUUUUCCAAUUAAACAAACAACCCCAUAAAAAAAAAAGUGCAAAUUGCCGGUUUUAGACUAUUGUUUUAUUAUAAAUAAAGGAAGACUAGAGUAAGUAGUUACUGAUAAUAUUUUUGUAUUAUUAUUUAACAAAGAAAGGAUUUUCCAAAAUUUUCAUUAGAAGAGAAGAAAAAAAAAAGUUUAAUAAAGUUCACAUUUUGAUGUAUUACAAAGUAAUCUACAAAUGGCAGGAGUGAAUGAUUUAUAAUACUUUUCCAAUUUGUGCUUUUUUUUAAUUUUCCUCAAAUAUCUUUAUAUGAGAGCAUUUCAGAUAUUUUCUUGAUUAUUUCUGGUUUUCCUCUAAGAAUGAGGCUUUGCUGUCUUGCUGUCUCGGAUUGCUAAGCGAAGCCAGUGAUUUCAGCAUGGAACGAGGGCGUGAAUGUGAUGAUGAUGUGUUUUCAAAGUCAAACAAUCAGCCUCUCUUGGCAUAGGCAGCAGCUUCUGGUGGGGGCUGUGAAUGCGAUCAAUAGGCUUUUCUAUUAGGAGGUGAAUUUCAUUGUCCCAAUACUUAUACUAGUGCGUAAAUAUCUCACAGACACAGUAACAAAAUAAUGAUAACCUAUUAGUUUAGGGCUCAGGGGAGGGAACAACUUGAACACAGAAUUAAACUUUAAAAAAAGUGGGCGAAGAAGAAGUUGUUUCAGUGUGUUUUUAGUUUAAUUAAUGUCCCAUGGAUAACAAGCAGAAGAGCAUGAUUGCUGCCAAUGUAAGACCAAUAUUGGCAACAUUUGUGGGCACUCCGCCUUGUGGCGCAGGAGCCACAAGACCGCUGCUGCCUGGAGCGGACUGAGAAACAGGGGUCACCGGUGGCAGUGGUGGACGAACAAUAUCUGCAACAGUCAAGGCUGGGUGAUAGAUUAUAUUUGGCCUAGUUUUCAGAUCUGUCACAUCCAAUAGUUCACCAGGUACAACAGGCAGAAUUCUGAAAUCCUGUUUCUCCACAUCGUCUGAACAUUUGCUUCCUGCAAGCGUGCAAAGCAAUAUAUGUUACAUACAUGUGUGUAUAUAUAUAAUUUAAAGACCAUAUAUAUUUUAUUAUAUAGGCAAAUUCUGUAUUUUUAAUAUAAGUUUGAAACAACACUACACUCACUGAAAUAUUUGCUUGCAGUGGCUGGAAACUCGGUUGUUAUACCAUCUACACCUACUCCUUGAGCAAAAGUGGCAACCUCUAUGAGGGGGUCUGCCAAGUAAUCGAAUGCAAUUGAUAAAUAUUCAUUCCUCAGAGCUGAAAUAUAUACUGAGAUAUUUGCACUGUGCAAAUCCCUUAGAAUGUUGGUAGCAUUUGUAGUAAAGCUUUCGGUUGUUGAAAUGACAG
rnacentral:lncRNA from 1 species